UGGUGGAGUGAUUUGUCUGGUUAAUUCCGAUAACGAACGAGACUCUAUCCUACUAAAUAGACUAUCGAUCUUGCUGUCGAUAGAGCUUCUUAGAGGGACUAAUGGCUUUUAGCCAUGUGAAGAAGAGCAAUAACA
rnacentral:rRNA from 1 species